GAUAAACAAAGGGGGUCUAUCCACACACUGGAAUGUCAUUCAUCCUUCACAGGGAAGGAGACUCUGAGACCUGCUACGCUGUGGAUGAUUCUGGAGGCUGCUGUGCGGGGUGAAACAAACCAGUCAGAGAGGACAGGUGCUGUGUGAUUCCAGUGAUGGAGGUCCUUGGAGAAGAGGAGGAGAGACAGAGGGGCUGGCCAUGAGCGCACAAAGGCAGAAACAGAGUGAUGCAGCCACAAGCCAAGGAACACCUGGGGCCAGAAGGUGGAAGAAGGAAGGGAGGAUUCAUCCCCUAGAGCCUUCGGAGGGAGCUCGGGCCUGCAGAUACCUUGAUUUCAGAUUUCUGACCUCCAGAAGUACGAGGCAAUAAAGUUUGGUUGCUCUAAGCCCA